rnacentral:piRNA from 1 species
UGAACAAUCUUUGUAAGGUGACCCCAGC